rnacentral:lncRNA from 1 species
CCUCAGUCUCGCAGGCAGGAGUGCUGUGGUGAGAUCACAGAUCAUUGGAGCCUUGAAUCUUGGGGUUCAAGUAGCUGGGAGGCUGAGGUUGGACUACAGAGGUGGGGUUGCGCCAUAUUGCUAGGCUGCUCUUGGCCUGAAGGGAUCCUCCUUCCUGGCCACGCCCGGACACAUAGUUUUCCAUUUUUGACCGACAUAAAUACUGUGCUGGGUGGGAGUUUGUCAACUACCCCUUUCCAGCCAGCAACACACAGGAACUGGCGGGGAGGUCGCGGUUACCAGGCUCCACUCUGAGAAGACUGCCCAGCUCCAGGCACUGUACAGCCCUUGUGACGUGACAGAAGGCCCGCCCCUGUGACGUCACCGAAGGCGCCCCCCAAGAUGUCGCAAAGGCCCGCCCCUCACGCAGAGCCAAUCGGAACUCCAGGUGCUGGGUCUUCCAGGAGAGCGCCUGCGCGGGAGGGUGACCACAGGCGGCCGGGCGGGAUGUCCUGUCCGCCGUCUUCAGCCCAGCCGCCACCACCCAUAAGCUAUGAGGAGGAGUUUACGACCACCUGGACUACUACCACCUGCGUGACUUCCCGGCCUGAGGGGUCCGCGCAGCAAAGGCCUGACGCUGCUGGAGCAGGCGCUGCGCACCUACCGGCUGGCGCCUGGUAGGCACGAGUGCAGGGUCGCCCAGAAGCUCCUCAAUGGCCGGCGCAAGUGCCAGCCAGCGCCAGCUGCAGCCCUGGCCGCGCACUCGCCUCAGCUGAGCCUGGGUCAGAGAUAUGAGACAAUCUGCAAAGAGGAAGCCAUGCCCUUGGCAUAGAAGCCGCUUGUUCCUGGGAUAAAGAGGUGGAUUUGGAAGAGUAGGCCAAAGUUGGACAAUAAGCCAAGGGGGGAAACUGUUGAAGAGAGUCAAGAGGCUGAGGCCUUGAGCCUGCAUUUUGGGUGGCACCCAAAGAUGACAAAAGGAGAAACAUGUCAUAAACUAGGCUUCAAAUGGCGCUUUGGCAGAAAGUUGUUUUGCUGCCCAAACUGGCAUUUAAUAUUGGUUGAAAUGAAUAAGACAUGCCAGCCAUCAACUUUUUACCAUGUAAUUAACCAGCUCUGAAUAAGGACAUGUCUUUUUACUUUAGUGCUCUUUUGAAAAUGGGUAAUAAACAAAAUAUUCAAAAGUCACAAAAUAGUAUGGACCGUGAGAACAUUGUGCUAAGUGAAACAAACCAGUUACAAAAGGACAAACACUAUAUGAUUCCACUUGCAUGAGCUAUCUAGAGUA